rnacentral:rRNA from 1 species
GACGAACGCUGGCGGCGUGCCUAAUACAUGCAAGUCGAGCGAAGUUUUUCUGGUGCUUGCACUAGAAAAACUUAGCGGCGAACGGGUGAGUAACACGUAAAGAACCUGCCUCAUAGACUGGGACAACUAUUGGAAACGAUAGCUAAUACCGGAUAACAGUAUUUCUCGCAUGAGAGAUAUUUAAAAGUUGGUUAUGCUAACACUAUGAGAUGGCUUUGCGGUGCAUUAGCUAGUUGGCGGGGUAAAGGCCCACCAAGGCGACGAUGCAUAGCCGACCUGAGAGGGUGAUCGGCCACACUGGGACUGAGACACGGCCCAGACUCCUACGGGAGGCAGCAGUAGGGAAUCUUCCGCAAUGGGCGAAAGCCUGACGGAGCAACGCCGCGUGAGUGAAGAGGGAUUUCGGUUCGUAAAGCUCUGUUGUUAGGGAAGAAUGGAUAUGUAGUAACUAUACAUGUAAGAGACGGUACCUAACCAGAAAGCCACGGCUAACUACGUG